rnacentral:misc_RNA from 1 species
GGAAAAUUUAACAAUUUAUUUCUUGAUUUGUUUUAUUAAAAAUUUUAACAUUCAUGAUGGUUGAUGAGAAUACAAGAUAAUACAAAAUGUGAUGGCCAUUUCAUGGAUUGUAUCCGAACAGUCCAUUAGCUUUGGAACAGGGCAAAGAUUUCAUCAGUAAGAGAAACUCUAAUCUUGCUCAAAAGGACAAUGCACUGAAGUUUUUUCAAGUGAAAGGAUAAAAAUUUGAAAAUAGUAGACCGCCGAGAAGGAUGUAAGGUGUAGAAUAUGCCCAUGUCAUGUACCCCCAUCUCUUACUAGUACCAUGGGACAUCAUGGCUAUAUAUGAUGCAAACUAAUAUAGGGGAGGACUUGCAGACAAUCGUGUAGUGACCUGCAAAUUAUCAAAGCACCAAACACAAUAAGAUGACAAAAGAAAACUUUAUCCAUCUUUUCGUGGUGAAAAUUAAGCAAAGAGUAUCUAGUUGUUGGAAAUUCCAGAUAAAUCAAACUACAACCAGAUAAAUGUGUUACUUGAUCUGUCAUCCAAACCAAUGUAGACCUAGUAUAUAUAUUAAUUUACAAAUUCAAACAAUGUUGAAAGCAAAAUCAGCUGCUCUAGUGGACCAUACAUAUUGGUUUUUAAAUCUCAACGAACUUUUAAAUUGUCAAACUUUAUUUUGAUUCUCCAAAUUGGAAAAUUAUAUUUCUGUUAUCUAAACUCAUGAAAUUUGAAUCAAAAGGCAUAAUUUUAAGUUAUGUAGUUCAUUCUUAAAAAGUGACAUAUAGCGAGGAAAUCACAAAUUCAUUUUCUCAUCACUCAUGGAAGGUUAUAAAAGUGAUGCAUGAGCAUCCCAAGUCCUAUUCAGUUUAGGAUUUUAUUUUCUUUUCCUUCUUUAUUAAAGAUUUUUGUCCAUUAAGGCUUUUAUUAAUUAGGAUUAGUUUUCA